UGCUCUUGAGCAAGUAAUGCAGUGCAUGCUGUGUUCAUGAUUCUUUUGGGUUUGAUUCUUUUGAGGAUUCUGAUUCUGAGUAUAAACCCUUUUGUUUAGCCUGGUUCUGUGUCCUUCGGGAUGUGGGGUUGGGUUUUUCAAAAACUAACCAGAAAGACAAAUAUAUCUAAGUCCCGCGAUGCCAAGCGGUUAUGGCGAAAGUACAACUUUCAGCAACGGAUGUCUAGGGUCUCGCAUCGAUGAAGAACGCAGCGAAAUGUGAUACGUAAUGCGAAUUGCAAAGCUUUGUGAAUCAUUGAAAUUUUGAACGCAUAUUGCGCUUGCAGGAUUUUUCCUGGGAGCAUGCAUGUCUGAGUGUCAGCAAACACCACUCAGCGCCUUUGCUUGCAAGGGUUGCUGGAUUCUUGCAUUGGUUUAUGAAAAUAAACACUGUGCAUAAGUGUAGACGAGAGGAUUUCAGAGUAGGUUAUCGAGCCGCGUGAUUUCUAUUUCUGUAUGUUCGCUUCUGUGUUCAUAUGAAAAUUGGGGUCGCAAAGUGUUGACGUAAUUAUUUCUCAGUUAUCAGCUUGAUGGGGAAAUUUAUUUCUCCAAAAUUUUUUACUGCGACGCA
rnacentral:misc_RNA from 1 species